CCUGGCUCUGACUCCAGUUUUUCAUGACUUUGGAAAAUGCCCAUGAUUUCUGUGCUACUCAACUCUCUGGAGUCUAUCAGCAGCAACUCCACCAACUGAACUUGGAACCAGCAGUUUUAUGGAAGAACUAUUUGGAAGUGUUUUCAAGCAAGGCUUUUUGUAGCAUCCUAAACAGAAGGAUAUUGAAGGGAGCUGAUUCUGCUUUGAUCCUUAUGCUUGUUGUCAAAGCGCUUGGGAUUGAAGAGACUGUUGGCUACAAUUGA
rnacentral:lncRNA from 1 species